rnacentral:rRNA from 1 species
GAUCCUGGCUCAGAUUGAACGCUGGCGGCAGGCCUAACACAUGCAAGUCGAACGGUAACAGGAAACAGCUUGCUGUUUCGCUGACGAGUGGCGGACGGGUGAGUAAUGUCUGGGAAACUGCCUGAUGGAGGGGGAUAACUACUGGAAACGGUAGCUAAUACCGCAUAACGUCGCAAGACCAAAGAGGGGGGACCUUCGGGCCUCUUGCCAUCGGAUGUGCCCAGAUGGGAUUAGCUAGUAGGUGGGGUAAAGG